rnacentral:rRNA from 1 species
CCUACGGGAGGCAGCAGUGAGGAAUAUUGGUCAAUGGCCGUAAGGCUGAACCAGCCAAGUCGCGUGAAGGAAGAAGGCCCUAUGGUUUGUAAACUUCUUUUAUAGGGGAAUAAAGGUAUCCACGUGUGGAUAUUUGCAUGUACCCUAUGAAUAAGCAUCGGCUAACUCCGUGCCAGCAGCCGCGGUAAUACGGAGGAUGCGAGCGUUAUCCGGAUUUAUUGGGUUUAAAGGGUGCGUAUGUUGUUUUUUAAGUCAGCGGUGAAAGUUUGUGGCUCAACCAUAAAAUUGCCGUUGAAACUGGAAGACGUGAGUGUGUUUGAGGUAGGCGGAAUGCGUGGUGUAGCGGUGAAAUGCAGAGAUAUCACGCAGAACUCCGAUUGCGAAGGCAGCUUACUAAGCCAUAACUGACACUGAGGCACGAAAGCGUGGGGAUCAAACAGGAUUAGAUACCCGAGUAGUC